GAUGAACGCUAGCGGCAGGCCUAACACAUGCAAGUCGAGGGGUAUAGUUCUUCGGAACUAGAGACCGGCGCACGGGUGCGUAACGCGUAUGCAAUCUACCUUUUACAGGGGAAUAGCCCAGAGAAAUUUGGAUUAAUGCCCCAUAGUGUUAUAGAAUCGCAUGGUUUUAUAACUAAAGUUCCAACGGUAAAAGAUGAGCAUGCGUCCCAUUAGUUAGUUGGUAAGGUAACGGCUUACCAAGACAAUGAUGGGUAGGGGUCCUGAGAGGGAGAUCCCCCACCACUGGUACGUGAGACACGGACCAGACUCCUACGGGAGGGCAGCAGUGAGGAAUAUUGGACGAAUGGGCGGCAAGCCUGAUCCAGCCAUGCCGCGUGCAGGAAGACGGUCCUAUGGA
rnacentral:rRNA from 1 species